GCACAAGCGGUGGAGCAUGUGGUUUAAUUCGAUGAUACGCGAGGAACCUUACCUGGGCUCGAACGUAAGAUGACUGUAGGUGAAAGCUUACAUCUCUUCGGAGCAUUUUACGAGGUGCUGCAUGGUUGUCGUCAGCUCGUGCCGUGAGGUGUCGGGUUAAGUCCCAUAACGAGCGCAACCCUACCUUUAGUUGCCAUCAGGUAAUGCUGGGGACUCUAAAGGAACUGCCUACGCAAGUAGUGAGGAAGCGGGGAUGACGUCAAAUCAGCACGGCCCUUACGUCCAGGGCUACACACGUGCUACAAUGGCCGAUACAGAGGGCAGCUACCUGGUGACAGGAUGCAAAUCUCCAAAGUCGGUCUCAGUUCGGAUCGGAGUCUGCAACCCGACUCCGUGAAGUUGGAUUCGCUAGUAAUCGCGCAUCAGCCAUGGCGCGGUGAAUACGUUCCCGGGCCUU
rnacentral:rRNA from 1 species